AGAGUUUGAUCAUGGCUCAGAUUGAACGCUGGCGGCAGGCUUAACACAUGCUAAUACCGCAUACGAUCUACGGAUGAAAGCAGGGGACCGCAAGGCCUUGCGCGAACGGAGCGGCCGAUGGCAGAUUAGGUAGUUGGUGGGAUAAAAGCUUACCAAGCCGACGAUCUGUAGCUGGUCUGAGAGGACGACCAGCCACACUGGGACUGAGACACGGCCCAGACUCCUACGGGAGGCAGCAGUGGGGAAUUUUGGACAAUGGGCGAAAGCCUGAUCCAGCCAUGCCGCGUGCAGGAUGAAGGCCUUCGGGUUGUAAACUGCUUUUGUACGGAACGAAAAGACUCUGGUUAAUACCUGGGGUCCAUGACGGUACCGUAAGAAUAAGCACCGGCUAACUACGUGCCAGCAGCCGCGGUAAUACGUAGGGUGCAAGCGUUAAUCGGAAUUACUGGGCGUAAAGCGCACGCAGGCGGUCUGUCAAGUCGGAUGUGAAAUCCCCGGGCUCAACCUGGGAACUGCAUUCGAAACUGGCAGGCUAGAGUCUUGUAGAGGGGGGUAGAAUUCCAGGUGUAGCGGUGAAAUGCGUAGAGAUCUGGAGGAAUACCGGUGGCGAAGGCGGCCCCCUGGACAAAGACUGACGCUCAGGUGCGAAAGCGUGGGGAGCAAACAGGAUUAGAUACCCUGUAGUCCACGC
rnacentral:rRNA from 1 species